GGUGAACGCUGGCGGUAGGCCUAACACAUGCAAGUCGAACGGCAGCACAGGAGAGCUUGCUCUCUGGGUGGCGAGUGGCGGACGGGUGAGGAAUACAUCGGAAUCUACUCUGUCGUGGGGGAUAACGUAGGGAAACUUACGCUAAUACCGCAUACGACCUACGGGUGCAAGCAGGGGACCUUCGGGCCUUGCGCGAUUGAAUGAGCCGAUGUCGGAUUGGCUAGUUGGCGGGGUAAAGGCCCACCAAGGCGACGAUCCGUAGCUGGUCUGAGAGGAUGAUCAGCCACACUGGAACUGAGACACGGUCCAGACUCCUACGGGAGGCAGCAGUGGGGAAUAUUGGACAAUGGGCGCAAGCCUGAUCCAGCCAUACCGCGUGGGUGAAGAAGGCCUUCGGGUUGUAAAGCCCUUUUGUUGGGAAAGAAAUCCAGCUGGCUAAUACCCGGUUGGGAUGACGGUACCCAAAGAAUAAGCACCGGCUAACUUCGUGCCAGCCGCCGCCGUAA
rnacentral:rRNA from 1 species